rnacentral:rRNA from 1 species
CCCUACGGGAGGCAGCAGUGGGGAAUAUUGGGCAAUGGGCGCAAGCCUGACCCAGCAACGCCGCGUGAGGGAUGACGGCCCUACGGGUUGUAAACCUCUUUUGUCGGGGAGCAAGACCCGCCACGAGUGGCGGAGCGAGAGUACCCGAAGAAAAAGCAUCGGCUAACUCCGUGCCAGCAGCCGCGGUAAUACGGAGGAUGCGAGCGUUAUCCGGAUUUAUUGGGUUUAAAGGGUGCGCAGGCGGACCAUCAAGUCAGCGGUAAAAUCGUGGGGCCCAACCCCAUCCCGCCGUUGAAACUGGCGGG